CUCUGUCACUGCCAGUGCGGUGUGAUUCCAGGCAGCUGGGCGAGCGCGGUUUCGCUCUCUGCCACUGCUCAGGGCUGCCAUCAGAAGGGGAGCGCUGGCAGUGCUCGCGCUGCUUUCCAUAGCGCAAAGUGGGAGCGCUCGGCUCGCUGCGGGACUCCGGGAAUCAGUGCGCGCAGAGGCUCCGUGUAGCCGCUCCUGCCUGCGCGCAGAGUGCCGGCUGCUGGGCUCUGCCUCCUGCCCGCGGCUGCGGUGCUGCCAGCUCCUCACCAGUUACAGGAAGCUCACGAGAGAGGCCGUGUCAAUAAGAGCAAUGGCUGUAGUGCCUGUCACGACCGCACGCCUUUCUCAGGAAUAGAGAACGAAGGCUGGAAGCUCUCCUGCUGCCUCUGCCAGAAGUGGUGUCAGGUUCUGCGUGUCCCCUGUGAUGUGACCAAGCAGACAGCGCAGAAGAAUAAAUAACAAAAAUGCUUAACUGUGCUGUGCUGAUAGGGGGGCAGACUUCCAUCACCCAGAGACUGCAUUCCGAGGCAGAAGCCAUGCUGCCAGAGCUGCUCACCUCCUGGCAGGGAUCUGGUCCGUGCUUACCUGCUCUGGCAACACCCACUGCCUUCCUGCAGGCACUGGGGCAGACCGGGGCUCGCCAGACGUCAGACACCCCA
ensembl:lncRNA